GCAACUCGCCUGCAUGAAGUUGGAAUUGCUAGUAAUCGCGGAUCAGCAUGCCGCGGUGAAUACGUUCCCGGGCCUUGUACACACCGCCCGUCACACCAUGGGAGCCGGUAAUACCCGAAGUCAGUAGCCUAACCGCAAGGGGGCGCUGCCGAAGGUAGGAUUGGCGACUGGGGUGAAGUCGUAACAAGGUAGC
rnacentral:rRNA from 1 species